rnacentral:rRNA from 1 species
GACAGAGGGUGCAAACGUUGUUCGGAAUUACUGGGCGUAAAGCGCGUGUAGGCUGCUUCGAAAGUCGGAUGUGAAAGCCCUGGGCUCAACCUAGGAAGUGCAUUCGAAGCUGGAGUCCUGGAGAGGAAGGCGGAAUUCUCGGUGUAGAGGUGAAAUGCUUAGAUAUGACAUAGAACACCAAUUGCGAAGGCAGCUUGCUACACGGAUAUUGACUCUGAGGCACGAAAGCGUGGGGAUCAAACAGG